GUUGGAGUUUGUGGAAACAACGUCAUGAAUAACCAAGUAACAAGUGAUCUCAUUGAGGGUAUUGGAUAGAAAGCUUCGAUUCAUCUUUUGGUGAGAUUCAGCUGUGGUAGGUAUUGGUAAGACACUUUGCUGCUCCAAAUACCUUUUCUAGCUUAUCUUUCCUUCUUUCCUCACGCUUUUAUAUGUAGUCAUUAUCUAGUAGAAGCAUUUGAAAAACUCACUUGCUUUACUUAUACAAAGACAGCCAACGACAAAGAAAAGAACCAAACUGCAGAGAAUAUGGAGAAGGCAGUGAAGUGUGGACAUCAACCUAAGUUCUUGGAGGGAGAGAAAGAGCAAACCAAUGUAAUUCUUCGUUUAGUCCAUCUGAAUUGCAGUACUUAUGAUGUUGUUUAAGACCUUUUUUUAACAAAUGGUGUUCAAUGCUACACUAUGUAACUUUUGAUGA